rnacentral:snRNA from 1 species
AGCUUUGCUCAGUGGCAGUAUCAUAGCCAAAGAGGUUUAUCUGAGGUGUGAUUAUUGCUAAUUGAAACAGAAGAACAGACAGAUGAGAAAAGUUUGUUCCAGUGGCCCUGAAGGCAGCUAGAGCAGAUGCAGAAUUUGGUCAAGGUCA